CCCUUAGACGUUCUGGGCCGCACGCGCGCUACACUGACGGAGCCAGCGAGUAUAAACCUUGGCCGAGAGGUCUGGGAAAUCUUGUGAAACUCCGUCGUGCUGGGGAUAGAGCAUUGUAAUUAUUGCUCUUCAACGAGGAAUUCCUAGUAAGCGCAAGUCAUCAGCUUGCGUUGAUUACGUCCCUGCCCUUUGUACACACCGCCCGUCGCUACUACCGAUUGAAUGGCUUAGUGAGGCUUCCGGAUUGGUUUAGAGAAGGGGGCAACUCCAUCUUGGAACCGAGAAGAUAGUCAAACUUGGUCAUUUAGAGGAAGUAAAAGUCGUAACA
rnacentral:rRNA from 1 species